GAUUGAUUCGUUUGCCGGCGCGCGCGCACGUCACGCUGCCGUCGGAGCGUCGAGAGACCAGGAGGGGCACCCGACCGGACGGAAACCGCAGGCGAGGGGUGCGAGCGGGUUGGACCUUGUCGUCGUUGUCGAUGGUGAGGUCCAUGCGCAGGGGCACACGCGGAGGAAACGGCCCCGCGCAGUACCACACGACGUCGUCGACAGUGACGUCCGCGGUCGAACGCGACCACGCGUGUGCCCACAAGGUGCGGCCAUCGGCGUCGGCCAGCAUGAGCGCCAGCGUCACGUCCGUCUCGUUGAAAUAGCGUGGGCCAUCUGUGUAAAGGCAGGCCGUGUGUCUCGGCGGCGAGGCCGAAAUGCGGCAGGGCCACAUGUAGGCGCCCAUCGGACGCGCGUAUCGAGGCCGCGAACCAGAGUCGGCGGGAUCGUGCCAAAAGCGCGGUCCGUUGUAUGCGUUCGACGGGCCAACGAUCGACGCUCGGUAGGCGGCUCCGACACCAAAGGCCUCGACAAACGUCGGGGGAACAUGCCGGCACGUUUGUAGGCCUUUGUCGUCAUUGCCAGAGCGUCCGACCGAUGGCAAAGGAUCGACGUCGUCGUAGAGCGUACCUCGGCCGCGUGUCUCGGCCGCCGAGCGAGCGAUGCGCGCACAGCACGCUGCCAGCGCUCGGCCGAUGGGCAUGGCCCAGGACGGCACGGCCUCGGGCGCGCUCGUCGGAUCGCUGCGGCCCGCGGCCGGGUCCACAGUCUCUGACGGAACGGCAUCGUCGGGCACGUCCAACGCGGCGAGUCCUCUGGUGAAAAACGCUGGGUCGGACACGACGUCCGUGGUGACGCCGUGGCACAGAUGGUCAAAGCGGCAGCGGCCCACAUGUAGGUCGUAGAGCCGAGCGCAGAGGCGCGGGUCCGACGCCACACGGCGCCAAUCCCUUGAUACGGAGGCCAGGCGCGCGAGAUCGACCAAACUACAGUAGCGCGCGAUGUGCAGGCGAAUCUCGUCCGAGAGCCACGCGACCGGGGAUAGGGUCGGUACGCAAGAAUCGUCGUACAGCCUGUCGACGGCGUGCGUGUUUUGUAGAUCCAUGUCGGACCAUGACGAGGAGGGGCAUUCGGUGCGCGCACGCUUGGGAAGCAGGGCUCGGUCUUUGUCGCGAGACUCUUGGCGGCCGUCCUCGCAUACUGUCUCGGCGCGCCGCCCGUCGCCAAAGUCGCGUGAUCUCUUGGUGCCCGAUGGCGUCGAGCGUUGAAUAGGCAGACAGGCGACCAUGCAGUCCUGGCUGUUGAUGUCGUCACCAUCGGCGUGGACCGCAUCUCUCCUCACACACACCUCCAUUGGGGUGUUUCUUUUUUUUUUUUU
rnacentral:lncRNA from 1 species